AUUCCUUCACCACGUGGCCAUGGUGAGGACUCACGGACUCGCUGCUCCACAGCAAUGAGCCCACGGCUGUCAUAGUGAGAGGUAGCGCAGAGUGACAGCACGGACCCAGAGCCCACCUCAGCUCCCAGGACCCCUGCUCUUCACUGUUUGACCUGACUUGACUUUUCUGGGCCUCAGUUUCUUCAUCUGUGAAGUAGGUUGCUGAGAGCACCUAGAACAGUUCAUGGCACUUAAAUCUCAUCAGUGUGGCUAUUUUUAUUCAAGUCUUUAAAGCCCUCUCUGGAAGUAGGCCACAGGAUCCACCUACACUUCAGAAGCAAAGAAAUGAUGUUGAGAGAAGCUAAAUGAAUGUUCCAAGGUGACACACUGGCACGAGUGAAUUGUGCUGGGUGGUUGGCAAAGCCAGGCAUUUUCAGGGGCUUUUCUGUGAUCUUAUCCUGUCUCUUAAAAGCAGCUGGUACUCCUGACUCCCUACUCUAGGUUAUGCCAAACAGAGGUUGAGGCCUGAGACAGACAUUUGUCCUCUUGCCCUGGAGCUAAGCAAUAGCUUCUGUAUUGUGUUUGCCCGCAGAGGACCACAGGGUGUCACUCAGUCACCUUGGCCAGCGCCACUUAGAAUGCAUCUGUACCGAGCCUCACUUCUGCCUCCUGCCCUCACUGCCCUCACUGGAAGCACCUUCCCCAC
rnacentral:lncRNA from 1 species